GACGAACCGUGCAAACGUUAUUCGGAAUCACUGGGCAUAAAGGGCGCGUAGGCGGCUUUCUAAGUCAGGGGUGAAAUCCGGCAGCUCAACUGUCGCAGUGCCUUUGAUACUGGAGAGCUCGAGGGAGGUAGGGGUCUGUGGAACUUCCGGUGGAGCGGUGAAGUGCGUUGAUAUCGGAAGGAACGCCGGUGGCGAAAGCGACGGACUGGAUCUCUUCUGACGCUGAGGCGCGAAAGCCAGGGGAGCAAACGGG
rnacentral:rRNA from 1 species